rnacentral:rRNA from 1 species
AUUGAACGCUGGCGGCAGGCCUAACACAUGCAAGUCGAACGAGUGGCGGACGGGUGAGUAAUGUCUGGGAAACUGCCUGAUGGAGGGGGAUAACUACUGGAAACGGUAGCUAAUACCGCAUACCAUCAGAUGUGCCCAGAUGGGAUUAGCUAGGUGUUGGGGUAACGGCUCACCAAGGCGACGCUCCCUAGCUGGUCUGAGUGGAUGACCAUCCACACGUGAACUGAGACACGGGCCAGACUCCUACGGGAGGCAGCAUGGGGGAAUAUUGCACAAUGGGCUCAAGCCUGAUGCAGCCAUGCCGCGUGUAUGAAGAAGGCCUUCGGGUUGUAAAGUACUUUCAGCGGGGAGGCGUUACCCGCAGAAGAAGCACCGGCUAACUCCGUGCCAGCAGCCGCGGUAAUUC